CCUGGUGGCUCAGAUGGUAAAGCAUCUGCCUACAGUGCAGGAGACCUGGGUUCGAUCCCUGGGUCAGGA
rfam:Ovis aries breed Texel chromosome 8, whole genome shotgun sequence.